rnacentral:misc_RNA from 1 species
UUAAGUUCAGCGGGUAUCCCUACCUGAUCCGAGGUCAAGAGCAAAUAUAUAGUCUUGAUGGGGGCCAACAAUAGCUAACAAGGUGCGCAAAAUGUGCUGCGCUCCAGGCUAACAUGCCGGCUGCCAAUUGAUUUAAGGCGAGUCUACACAAAUGCAUAGACAAACACCCAACACCAAGCAAAGCUUGAGGGUACAAAUGA